GUUGAGAAGCACUGCAGCCAUGUGUUUGAUGGUUGCAGCCUCCUGGAAGCGGUUCAGUCAGGAGCAGUUUGUGACUACAUUGACAUUUAAGUGGCUGUGCUUGGGAGGUGAAGGGCAUGAUAGGAGAAAGUAAGGAUAUGAGAAAGCUGAGUACAACAAAGAACAAUGGACGGAAGAAGACAGAAGGACCUGUAGGAGACCCAGCUGGGGGCCUGAUGCAACAGCUAUGGGCCUUGCGCAACAUUGACUUCAGAGCGAUGGCGUUUGUCUUCCCAAGUCACCGUUACGUGUGAUGGAGCCCUGCUUUCCUGGAGAUGGCUGAACACCUGCCUGCCCAUGGGAAGUGGGGAAUGAAUUCCUUGUCUCAUUUUACUUGUGCGUGUGGGCUGUGAGGCUGGGCAGCUGGGGGUCUUGUGUAGUAUUGACUUUGGGUGGGAAA